AAGCGAUAAAGACCGAUCGCUCGCAUUCUUCGCACUCUUCGAUUUACACUCGACGAGUACCCAGCCAACCGUCUCCGAGGGCUUCGGUACAUCAGCGAUGAAACUCCAAGCGGGAAUCUUGAUCGUCGCGGUGUUUAUCGGCUCGUCAAAAGUGGCCGAGGGCAACCCGUACGUGACCGAAUUAUGGAGGAAAGGAGUCGCAACGGUGAGAAACUUCGUGCUUGGACCUGCGCCUGCUCCUUGGCACCAAGAGGCUGUGUGGCGGAUUGAGUUCGAUCCUGAUGCGGGUCUUCGCAAAGCACCGGACUAUCAGCGUUACUUUGGACAGCGCGGUGAAAGUUUGGUAGAGCUUCUUGGUUCCGGAAACUAUCGUCCGGGAAACAGUCAGAUGUCUCCGCGAUCCGUCAACGUUCGUACGACUCAAGUCGGACUUCAAAAUUAGACACAAUAUAAUAACCGUCGUUGAUCCAGGAACAAUUCAUUUACGAUCAAUGGGACUGUUCGCUGUUUGGAGGCGCGCUUUUUUCUCGAUUUUGUCAACUUAUUUCAUUUCGAGUGUGUAUUGAACAUGCGUUUCAACUCUUUCGAUGCGAAUGCGUCGCAGCAUACUGCAUGUACAUACAUCGUCAUGCGCCGCUAAGUUGUACAUGCAAUUUAGUUUCAUUAUGUCCCAACCGGCAAAUGGUAUGAAUCACGUAUGCAGAAUUACACAUUUUCACGUACCUAUAUGAGAACGUCGACCACGGCACGAUCUUGCCACGUGAUCGAUAGUCGAGAUGCGCAUACUUUGAAAUUUGAUGGAUGCAUGGUUCACAUCGUUAUAGCCGCGUUAGCGUGCCGUUGCAUAUUUUUGAAUGUGGUGAAUCCGUGAUUGGCCGCAAUUAUGAUAUUUUGUUAAAACCCAUCAAGUCAAUACAUUAACUUCGUUCCUUGUUGUUUAUUGACUCGACCGCAGUGAUGAGAAGACUGUAAUUAUAUUACCAUCAUGCCUGUGCGGUUAUGUGGCUGUAAUGGAUAUUGGAUAGCAGUCAGGAUUGAGUAAAUCGUUGCUAUGAGUUAGUGUACCUAAUUGAAAUAUUUACGGACAAUCUUACACGUACUCACACUUACGCAUACUGAAUUGACUUAACUGCCUUUCACCGGUGUGACUACAUCUUCAUUACGCUGAUAAUUUAAUAAACAUUCUAUUUCGAUAUAAAUUGAAUCUAUCUCUUCGACCUGUAAAAAUACCUCGGAAGCAAUCUCGAAUCUUUAACGGUUGGUCAGUGUAUUUUGAUUCGUGAACCGAAAAUCAAAGGGGUGUAGUAAAUUCUGCAUUACUACUACAUGGCGUGACUAAAUAUAAUUAAUAAUUAUUACCGUAAUCUACUGAAUAUUUCUUGCAUCCCAAUUAUACCGACAAGUUCUAAAAGUCAUUGACGCGAUGCACUUUUCUCCGUGCUCAAGUCAGGUUAAGAUAUAAUGUUAUCAAAUUAUUGAAGUUUCAUGGAGACUGAUAUCGCAUAAAAAUUUACAAACAACAUUAUACGCUGAACCCUAAAUUCAAGAUUUUCAUUGGAAGAUGGAAAGCUACUUCCACUGUAGACAAUGUUUAAUUAUACACCAAAAUACUUUCACGUUAAGUUCUGUCCAUGGUCUACUUUGCUAUCAAGGGAUAAGUUAUUUGAGCAAAUUUAUAUCUUACUUACUUAACCAUCGCUCCUUCCUAGUUUUUAUCGAAUAAGCAUAGAUUCUCAAUAAUAACGUAAGUAUGGGUGUAGCAGUUUCUCAAUUCCUCAUUAUCGAAUGUAAUUCACGGCUUCUGCAGAGUUUGUCAAACCGUUCGAGAUCAAGUACAAAUACUAAUCAUUCGAUUUGUAACUAGUCAUUUUUGAACUCCAACUCGAAUUAAAAUAUUCCUCCCAGCUGGCUGAAUUUAUUAAGAAAGUUGAGGAAAUAAUGUUGACAAUUGUGAUCGCGUAUAUAAAUAGCAAUAUGGAUUCAUCUUUAUUCCUCAUAUUGAAAAUGUGUCUCGUAAAUAAAGCAGUGUGUACAAACUA